rfam:Callipepla squamata strain Texas jcf7180005233938, whole genome shotgun sequence.
UUGACUGGGGCGGUACACCUGUCAAAGUGUAACACAGGUGUCCCAAGGUGAGCUCAGGGAGGCCAGAAACCUCCCGUGGAGCAGAAGGGCAAAAGCUCGCUUGAUCUUGAUUUUCAGCACAAGUACAGAUCAUGAAAGCAGGGCCUCACUAUCCUUCUGACUUCCUGGGUCCUGGACUUGUUCCAUCAGGAG